ensembl:snRNA U2 U2 spliceosomal RNA
AUUGCUUCUCAGUCUUUUGGCUAAGAUCAAGCACAAUAUUUGUUCUUAUCAGUUUAAUACCUGAUAUAGUCUCUGUUCAAGGACAAUAUAUCAAAUGGCUUUCUGGAGGAAGGAGAUAGAAUACGAGCUUGUCUACACAUAUUGACCUAGUAUUGUAAUACCCCCAGGACUGCUAUACCCCUC